GACGAACGCUGGCGGCGUGCUUAACACAUGCAAGUCGAACGGAAAGGCCCGGCUUUUGUGGGGUGCUCGAGUGGCGAACGGGUGAGUAACACGUGAGUAACCUGCCCUUGACUUUGGGAUAACUUUAGGAAACUGGGGCUAAUACCGGAUAGGAGCUCCUGCUGCAUGGUGGGGGGUGGAAAGUUUCGGCGGUUGGGGAUGGACUCGCGGCUUAUCAGCUUGUUGGUGGGGUAGUGGAGUACAAAGACUACGAUGGGUAGGCGGCCUGGGAGGGUGCCCGCCCACCUUGGGCCUGCGAUACGGCCCAGUCUCCUACGUGGCGCAACAGGGGGAAAUUUUACACAAUGGGCCGGCGUCUGAUACAGCAGCGCCGCGUGCGGGAUGCGGGCUUUCGGGUUGUAAACCUCUUUCUCCUGUGACGAAGCGUUCGUGACGGUAAUGGGUAAAGAAGCACCGGCUAACUACGUG
rnacentral:rRNA from 1 species